rnacentral:rRNA from 1 species
AAGACCUUGCGCUUUUGGAGCGGCCGAUGCCUGAUUAGCUUGUUGGUAAGGUAAAGGCUUACCAAGGCUUCGAUCAGUAGCUGGUCUGAGAGGACGACCAGCCACACUGGGACUGAGACACGGCCCAGACUCCUACGGGAGGCAGCAGUGGGGAAUUUUGGACAAUGGGGGCAACCCUGAUCCAGCCAUGCCGCGUGAGUGAAGAAGGCCUUCGGGUUGUAAAGCUCUUUCAGCCGGAACGAAACGGUUACGGAUAAUACCCGUGACUACUGACGGUACCGGAAGAAGAAGCACCGGCUAACUACGUGCCAGCAGCCGCGGUAAUACGUAGGGUGCAAGCGUUAAUCGGAAUUACUGGGCGUAAAGCGUGCGCAGGUGGUUUUGUAAGUCAGAUGUGAAAGCCCCGGGCUCAACCUGGGAACU